rnacentral:rRNA from 1 species
GCCAGACUCCUACGGGAGGCAGCAGUGGGGGAUAUUGCACAAUGGGGGGAACCCUGAUGCAGCGACGCCGCGUGGGUGAAGGAGCGUUUCGGCGCGUAAAGCCCUAUCGGCAGGGAAGAAGGAGGACGGUACCUGACUAAGAAGCCCCGGCUAACUACGUGCCAGCAGCCGCGGUAAUACGUAGGGGGCAAGCGUUAUCCGGAUUUACUGGGUGUAAAGGGGGCGCAGACGGCAGCGCAAGCCAGGAGUGAAAGCCCGGGGCCCAACCCCGGGACUGCUCUUGGAACUGCGCGGCUGGAGUGCAGGAGGGGCAGGCGGAAUUCCUGGUGUAGCGGUGAAAUGCGUAGAUAUCAGGAGGAACGCCGGUGGCGAAGGCGGCCUGCUGGACUGCGACCGACGUUGAGGCCCGAAAGCGUGGGGAGCAAACAGGAUUAGAUACCCCUGUA